AUACGUAGGGGGCGAGCGUUGUCCGGAAUGAUUGGGCGUAAAGGGCGCGUAGGCGGCGCGGUAAGUCUGGAGUGAAAGUCCUGCUUUCAAGGUGGGAAUUGCUUUGGAUACUGCCGCGCUUGAGUGCAGGAGAGAUUAUCGGAAUUCCCGGUGUAGCGGUGAAAUGCGUAGAGAUCGGGAGGAACACCAGUGGCGAAGGCGGGUAACUGGACUGCAACUGACGCUGAGGCGCGAAAGUGUGGGGAGCAAACAGGAUUAGAUACCCUGGUAGUCCACACUGUAAACGAUGAAUGCUAGGUGUAAGAGGUAUCGACCCCUUUUGUGCCGGAGUCAACACAAUAAGCAUUCCGCCUGGGGAGUACGGCCGCAAGGUUGAAACUCAAAUGAAUUGGCGGGG
rnacentral:rRNA from 1 species